AGAAAAGCAGUCAUCAGAUCAGAGGAGCUGCUAAAAUGAACAGACUCUUCUUGCUUAAUGUAUUGUUCUGCAUCGUAUAUGAGAUUCCAGCACAGCUCGUUGUCCAGCCACGUCUAUCAGUGACAGCCCAGCUUGGAGAGUCUGUGACCCUGGAGUGCUCUACAUCGCGUACUCAGCACCAUGAUUUGGUUUGGUUCAAGCAAGUCAUUGGACAGCCUCCUAGGUAUAUAGGCCUAAGGAAAGCUUCUGAACAAUCAGAGCCUACAUUUUAUAAAGAUUUUGAUAAUAAAAAACGUUUCCAAAUUCUAACAAAUGAAAGCAGUUUUAACCUCACAGUUUUAAAGAUGGAAUCGUCGGAUAUGGCUGUUUAUUACUGCGCAGCACUGAAAGACAAUCAAGUGUUUUUUGGGAAUGGAGCUGCACUGCUGCUUAAAGGUAUUGAAUCCGGAGGAAGGAUUAUUCAGCCUCCUAUCUCUGAAUCAGUGCAGUCUUACUAUUGUACAGAGGUGUCAUGUGAGGAGGACAUUACUGGAAAUGGAACCAAGAAGAACAGUACGGAUUAUAACCAGAACAUGCACAUGCUUGUGAUUCUCUCAUUUGCAAGGAGUGGAUGUCUUGUCAUUGCAAUCCCAAUAAUUAUAAUGUUCUUAAGAAGAAAAUGACCAACAUAAGUAUAAGGAAAGAUGAGAUUCUGGCCUGAAGCCCCCAAAAAGGAACAUUUUCACAAAUAAAGAAGCUUAUUAAAUGCUUAUAGAUGCUAUAGUUUUGCUAAUUGCAAUGGUAGGAAAUGUCCAAAUGUCCUGAAUUUCCAGACCAUGAACUGAAGCAGACAAAUGAACAAUGACAAAGAUGAAGGAUUUCAUUACUGUGGAGUUAUUCCACUGAGCUGCAGUAUUUUCAUCGUAGUAAAUAUGGCUAAUUUGUCCUGCUUUGCAAAGCAAUCUGUUUAAACUGCUUCACAAUUAUGAACAUUGUAUUUUGUUUUGCCUAAGCAGAUAAGAACUAUGUCUGUAAUCACAAUUGUACCUUUAGUUCAGUAAAUGCACAAUAAACCACGAUGCUUUC